AGUGUCUUCGAAAAAGUCCGUUAGCAUCUAUCUUAGCAGUUUUCAGAAAAGGCUGAUUUACUGAAUCGAUGACGUCACUUACACUGAGAGUGUAACGUUAAUCGGCUGAAAACAAGUUCACAUGAGUUUUGAUAUUUCAUGAUAAACAGAUAUUAAUACAAAUUGUUCUGUGAUUUCAGGAGGACAGAAAGAAACUAUACAGAACAAAGUGAAACUCCAAGAUUUUUGAAAAGAAAAUUGGUGAAAUAUAUUCUGAAAAAGGCAUAUUAAUGUAUUUCAUGAGCUUCUUCAGUAAAUCUGUAUUUCUAAGUCAGUAUCUCCCUUCAGAAAUGUUGCUGACGGGAGAUACUGACUUAGAAAUACAGGUGAACUCAUGAAAAGAAGCUCAUGAAAUACUCAUGAAAGAAGCUCAUGAAAUACAUUAAUAUGCCUUUUUCAGAAUAUAUUUCACCAAAUUUAAAAGGCCCUGACAUCAAAACAUGGCUUAUUUUGUUCCUGGACUCUUCAGUGAUGACGAUCAGAGUCUGAGUGAACCUGCUGUCAGACAAUCACUAUUGCACACCAAAUGCUCUUACUCAGCAGAUGGGGACAGCUACCAUCACCCAAUUUUCACCCAAAAGUGGUUGCGCUAUUCGCCAGACCGGGCAGGAGGGACUGGACGACAACUUAUGCAGGCAUCAGAUGACAAUGAAGUGUAAAUAAAGAGUAGAGAGGCUAAUAAACAUAAAUUUGAUUUUAAA